ACUGUUCUUUUUCCGUCGUGUCUGUAACUCAACUCGUCUCUUUGAUGAACUUAUCACAUUGUAAUCUUUCAAUCGGUGUUGUUCUUCUAUUCAAUUGUGCUUCUGCUUUGAUUUUCUUUUCUUCUUCUUUGGAUUUCUGCAUCUGCUUCUGGUUUUGUUAUCGUUCUCAUUAUGCUGGUUGGGCUUUCGGUUUUGCCACCGAAACGUUGUCGUUUCCAUUGUUAGCACUCAGAAAUUCCAAAGCCUAAUGCACACGUGCAUAUCUUAAAAAAUUGAAAUGUUUUUCAUGGGAGAGUUGCUGAAAUUUUGGCGGGUAUAUGAUGAUUGUUUUUCUCUGUAGGGAUUGCAGUGUUUUGAUACAGUUGUGGGGAUAAUGCUGGACGAUAGCUUUUUCUUCGCGGAAAUUUGGUUGUACUGAUGAUAUGAUGGAGUGGAAAUCUGUGGUUGUAUUUUGUUUUAUUUAGAUUUCGCUUUAGUUACUUUUCUUCUCUUGAUACUCCUAAGUGGUAGUAAAAUUGUUAGGAAUUAGUUUGAAUGUGCAAACACAAUAGUCUAUUGUUGAUGUAGGCAUUUGGAUAUACUAAAUUUCAUUGAACAGCUUGCAUUUGUGGGAUUAUCUGAAUGAUGAAGUAUCUCACAAAUUGCACUGGCAUCUGGAUGUUUGUAGAUGAACAAAUUAUUUUUAUAAAAUAAUUUUCUAGUAUUAUGUUUGUUAUUGAAGUUCUAAUAGUUGUAUAGUUCUUGGCUUCUUGCAGUAUGAAUAAACGUGCAUAACUGAGAAAGAUGCUUGCAAAGGGGUACAUGUCACGGCAGCUCUUUGGCCAGACACCAAACUAGCCUUUCUCAAAAUUUGCAAAUCUGUCUCAGUUCAGAGAAAAUGCUUAAAUUGGUAACCCAAAAAAUGACCUGACUAGCCUGAGUGACUGGCGCAAAACCCCAGAAUCAGUUGCUUUCGUGAUUUAGUUAGAGAGGAAAUCGUAGUUUUGUAUGGAAUCAGCUUUUAUCUCUUCAGCCCCCUUGCAAGAUGGAGAUGUCCUAAUUUUGGGUAAUUCCAUCUUGGAGAGGAGAUUUUGGAAUUGCACCUGGCCGAGGUGCUUGGUGAACAGAUCAGCAAUCUGGUGGCGGGAUGGUACAUGCACCGUUGAAAUAAAGUCUUUGGGGAGUUGAUCACGGACAAGGUGGCAGUCGAUGUCCAGAUGCUUCGUUCUUUCGUGGAAUAUGGGUUGGCUGCUAUAUGUUGAGUUGCUUGGUUAUUGCAGUGCAAAGGGAUGGGGAGCUCUGGCUGUAUAUGGAACUCCUUUAACAGAUAAGUGAUCCAUCGAAGUAAUCGCCAUGCUUUUAUAUUCGGCUUCUGCGGAAGAUCUGCUAAUUGUUGUCCUUCAUGGACUUAGGUACGGGUGUUAAGUUGAUAUUAGUUGCUUUUUAAUUUAAUUCUUGAGUUCAUUUUAUCUUAGCAUUUUAUGCUUUUAAAGAUAACGUUCAGUUGUAUGUUCCUGCUUUCAUUUCAAGUUCUUCAUGCAGUUUAUUUUUAGUUUAUGGAUGUUAUACAAAGUACUUACCUUUUGUAUGGAAUUGCAUUGUACUUUAUUGGUUGCUGUGGUUAAUGAUUUACAUUUUUUUUUUCUAUUUUUUUUGCAAAUAGAGUUGAUAAUUGAGAUUUGCUCUACCUGAUUCCCUACUUUCCAUCUUGUAAUUAUUGACUAAGGGCAAGAGAAUUCUCUUGGAUGUUCAUUUGUUUGUUGUAUUAUUUCGGUGAAGUAUGUGUUUCAUAAUUUGGGUUUACAUUUUUAUUCGCUUGUUUAAUGUGAUUUAGUUGGCUUCCAUUUUCCAUCUUUAUCGAUUUGAGUACUUCUGCACUCUUUAUUUUUCUUUAAUUUAUUUUUUGCGUUUGCUUUAUUUUCAAAAGACAUUCCCUUUAAAACUUCUUACUUUUGCAACUUCAGUUUAACAUUGCUCUUCUUCUACGGUUUACUCUGUCAAUGUGUUUUUUUAAUUUUAAUUUUUAUUUGCAGUUCUUCUAAUUCUUCAAUUAUGAUUGUCAACGAGAUUUCUAUUUGCUUUUAUUUCUCCUUCUCUCCUUUUUUAUCAGUGUAAUUUUUAGUGGAAUUUGCUAUGGUUAUGAUUGAAUGCAUUCUCAUCCUGUAUGAGAAUGAGGCGACAUUUUAAGUUAUUUUUACUGUGACAUAGCUGGGCUACUCAUUUUUGCCAAAAGUAUUUUUCCCUUAUGAUUUAUUUUUUGAAACAUUUUCAAGUUUCAAUUCUGGGCAGUGCCUCAGUAUUUUUGUUUUCAUUUACCUUUUGGUUGUAUUCUUUUCCUAGACCAAAAUUUUUAUUGCAAUUCAUUUCAUUUGUUUUAUUUGAUUAAAUAACAAUAUUUUCCAUGUUUAAACAUGGUUGAACUAGUGAAGUAUAUGUUUGGAACAUGGACUUUGGUCUCUAAAUCACUCUUAAAAGCUAGCUCGCGGAAGGGGGUUACCUAAGUCCAUAUGGAAGGGUUCCACGUGGGAUACUCAUCACACCCUUCUAACACUAGGAGCAUCAAAAUAUUUAUGGAUGCUCAACAUUGAUGGGAGAUAAGAAAAUGGACUUAUGUCUUAACUCAACCCAAAAAGCUAGCUUAAGAGAUUUCCUUUUUUGCAUCUUAUUUUCUCUCUUUUUUUCAAAUAUUAUGUUGUUUUAAAUUAUUUUAAUUUUUAAGAAUCCUUUCCGUAUUUUUUUAUACUGGUUUUAAAUUGUUUUUGUUGUUUGGGAAGUUUCAAAUGAUUUGGAAAUGCUUGUUCGCAUUCGUCGAAUGUGCAUCAAUCUUGUAAAAAUGGUUUUCCCUUUCCAUCUUUCCCUUAUGAUUUAUUUUUUGAAACAUUUUCAAGUUUCCAUUCUGGGCAGUGGCUCACUAUUUUUGUUUUCAUUUACCUUUUGGUUGUAUUCUUUUCCUAGACCAAAAUUUUUAUUGCAAUUCUUUUCAUUUGUUUUAUUUGAUUAAAUAACAAUGUUUUCCUUGUUUAAACGUGGUUGAACUAGUGAAGUAUGUGUUUGGAACAUGGACUUUGGUCUCUAAAUCACUCUUAAAAGCUAGCUCACGGGAGGGGGUUACCUAAGUCCAUAUGGAAGGGUUCCACGUGGGAUACUCAUCACACCAUUCUAACACUAGGAGCAUCAAAAUAUUUAUGGAUGCUCAACAUUGAUGGGAGAUAAGAAAAUGGACUUAUGUCUUAACUCAACCCAAAUAGCUAGCUUAAGAGAGUGAAUUGCCCAGGUUUGUACAUAUGGCCUGUUAUUCACAUACUUAACUAACACAAAUGCUUAACAUUACGGAUAAGUUAGUUGUUUAAUCUGAUCAGUAAUUGAAGUCAUUUCCUUUUUUGCAUCUUAUUUUCUCUCUCUUUUUUUUUUCAAAUAUUAUGUUGUUUUAAAUUAUUUUAAUUUUUAGGAAUCCUUUCUGUAUUUUUUUAUACCGGUUUUAAAUUUUUUUUGUUUUUUGGGAAGGGAAAGAUGGAAAGGGAAAGCCAUUUUUACAAGAUUGAUCAUUUGAAACUUAUGAUUUAUGUUUUGAAACAUUUUCAAGUUUCAAUUCUGGGCAGUGCCUCACUAUUUUUGUUUUCAUUUACCUUUUGGUUGUAUUCUUUUCCCAGACCAAAAUUUUUAUUGCAAUUCUUUUCAUUUGUUUUCUUUGAUUAAAUAACAACAUUUUCCAUGUUUAAACAUGGUUGAACUGGUGAAGUAUGUGUUUAGAACAUGGACUUUGGUCUCUAAAUCACUCUUAAAAGCUAGCUCACGGGAGGGGGUUACCUAAGUCCAUAUGGAAGGGUUCCACGUGGGAUACUCAUCACACCCUUCUAACACUAGGGGCAUCAAAAUAUUUAUGGAUGCUCAACAUUGAUGGGAGAUAAGAAAAUGGACUUAUGUCUUAACUCAACCCAAAAAGCAAAGUAAUUGAAGUCAUUUCCUUUUUUGCAUCUUAUAUGUUGUGCUUCAAAUGGUUGAGAAAAUUGCUAUCCUUCAUGGACUUAAAUCCUAGUGUUAAGCAUUGGUUAUGAUAUGAAGGGUUGCAUCGUCAUAGAGAGGCCAGGCCUGAUCAAUACUUUUUUUGUAUGCUUAUUCUGUAAACAACAUCAAAUUACUGCUGCAAUUUGGAUGUUUCAUUUGCUUGCUGUAUUAUUUUGGUGAAGUAUGUGUUUCAUAAUUUGGGUUUAGAUUUUUAUUCGCUUGUUUUAUAUGAUUUAGUUGGCUUCCAUCUCUAUCGAUCUGAGUACUUCUGCACUCUUUCUAAUUUAUUUUUUUUUCCUUUUUUUUCAAGAGGCAUUUACUUUAAAACUUCUUACUUUUGCAACUUCAGUUUGGCAUUGCUCUUCUUCUACGAAGGUGAAUGUUUUUGCUCUUCUUCUACGAAGGUGAAUGUUUUUUUUUAUUAUUAUUUUUAAUUUUCAAUUUUUUUCUCCUUUAUGAUUUACAUUUUCAAGUUAUGUUUUCUUUGAUGUUUGUUGUCUUUCUUUUAGCAUAUUUUUUUAAUUACUUUUUGAAACAUUUUCAACUUUCAAUUCAGGGCAGUGCCUCACUAUUUAUUCUUCUGAGCAGAGUGGCGACUUUUUUUAUUUUUAAAUCCUCUGCAUUGUGAUACUUCAUUAGCACUUACCAUUUGCUUCUGUAUGUUGUGCUUCAAUUGGUUGAGAAAAUUGUUUUCCUUCAUGGACUUAAAUACGCAGGAGCAAACUGUUGAUUUUUCAUUGCUGGUCUUACAUGGAUUUAAGUGCCAGUGUUAAGCUGAUUUCAGUUGCAUAGGAAGAUAUUCAGUUAUAUGGUCGUGCUUUUAUUUCAAGUUCUUGUAUAUCACUUUCAAUUAUGGAUGUAAUACAAAGCUUGUUAUUUCUUUUUUUUUUUCGGAAAUGAAGGUGAUAAUUGAAAUUUGCUCAACUUGUUUUUCUGUUUUCAUCUUGGAUCUAGGGGAGUAAUUAUUGAUUUAUGGCAAGGGAGUUCUCUUGAAUUUUGAUAUAUAAUUUAAUUUUACAAUUUUGUUUGAGAAAUUGGCUAUGAUCUCGGUCAAGGAUGUCAAAUUGGAUUAUUGCUUUUCCCGGAUAUACUUUAAUGUGUUAAUGAAUUCAUUGACUCAUUACUUGAUACCAUGAAAGAAGCAUUUGAUGAAAUGAAAUGAUAUUUUCUAUAAUCUGUUCUUUUAAUGUUGUGUUUUACUGGUAGAUAAUAUAAGGUGUUUUACAAAACAUAUUUUCUGAUUGCAUCUGUUGUCCAGGUAACUGUAUGUUUAGGAUUAAUGUACUUCUCUCUUGUUUAGGUUUUCCUUUGUGGAUUUUGUUUUGCAUUGGAAUAUAAAUUUUUCUAGUUAAUUGGUUCAUGAUGAUCUACAUUUUUUCUCUGGCAAUGAAAGAUGAUUGAGAUAUGCCCUACAUACAUGUUCCGAUGUUUUCCAUAUUCUGUUGAAGGGAUGGUUGAUUCAGGGAAAAGGAGCUCUAGACCCAUGAUUUACUAUUUUGUGAUUUUGUUAUGGUGGUAGAUUUCGAGAAUUGGCCUUAAAUUUUUAAGGGAGCAUCAUUGCAGGGGACAGGCCUUAUUAACAACAAUUGUGCAGUCCUGCAGCGAUGGAGCAGCACGGGGAGGGGAGAAGGCGCUGGGAUGGGAGGCGAAGAGGGGGAGGGGGAGGCAUGGUACGGGACGCGGGGCCACGUGCCGGAUGAAAAGGGGAGGGGCGGGGCGGGGGCGAGGGCGAGGACGAGGUGGGGGAAAGAUAUGUGUAAUUUGAUGGCGAGGGACACAACGGGUGAAAUCAUAUCAGCACAGACCAAGUACUUGUUUCCCCUUUCUUUUGGCUCCAAUGUGUUGAGACGAGUAAUUUAUGAUCAUGUUCUUAAAAUAAAUACUAGCCUCAAAUGCCACAAGGAAUUGAAUUUGAACUGAGAGAGAUGCUGUUUGCGUAGUGUUUUCUCCUUUUUGCAUCGAUCUGCUAAUAUCUGAAACGUGGAGCUUUGCUUGCUAAGAAGUGAUGUUCUGUUGGUAAUUU